rnacentral:rRNA from 1 species
GAUGAACGCUGACGGCGUGCCUAAUACAUGCAAGUCGAGCGAACGGACGAGAAGCUUGCUUCUCUGAUGUUAGCGGCGGACGGGUGAGUAACACGUGGAUAACCUACCUAUAAGACUGGGAUAACUUCGGGAAACCGGAGCUAAUACCGGAUAAUAUUUUGAACCGCAUGGUUCAAAAGUGAAAGACGGUCUUGCUGUCACUUAUAGAUGGAUCCGCGCUGCAUUAGCUAGUUGGUAAGGUAACGGCUUACCAAGGCAACGAUGCAUAGCCGACCUGAGAGGGUGAUCGGCCACACUGGAACUGAGACACGGUCCAGACUCCUACGGGAGGCAGCAGUAGGGAAUCUUCCGCAAUGGGCGAAAGCCUGAUGGAGCAACGCCGCGUGAGUGAUGAAGGUCUUCGGAUCGUAAAACUCUGUUAUUAGGGAAGAACAUAUGUGUAAGUAACUGUGCACAUCUUGACGGUACCUAAUCAGAAAGCCACGGCUAACUACGUG